AGAUUGAACAUAAGAGUUUGAUCCUGGCUCAGAUUGAACGCUGGCGGCAUGCUUUACACAUGCAAGUCGGACGGCAGCACAGGGAAGCUUGCUUCUCGGGUGGCGAGUGGCGAACGGGUGAGUAACAUAUCGGAACGUACCGGGUAGCGGGGGAUAAC
rnacentral:rRNA from 1 species